rnacentral:rRNA from 1 species
GACGAACGCUGGCGGCGUGCUUAACACAUGCAAGUCGAACGAUGAAGCUGGAGCUUGCUCUGGUGGAUUAGUGGCGAACGGGUGAGUAACACGUGAGUAACCUGCCCUGAACUCUGGGAUAAGCGUUGGAAACGACGUCUAAUACCGGAUAGGACCUUGGAUCGCAAGAUCUGGGGUGGAAAGUUUUUCGGUUUGGGAUGGACUCGCGGCCUAUCAGCUUGUUGGUGAGGUAAUGGCUCACCAAGGCGUCGACGGGUAGCCGGCCUGAGAGGGUGACCGGCCACACUGGGACUGAGACACGGCCCAGACUCCUACGGGAGGCAGCAGUGGGGAAUAUUGCACAAUGGGCGCAAGCCUGAUGCAGCAACGCCGCGUGCGGGAUGACGGCCUUCGGGUUGUAAACCGCUUUUAGUAGGGAAGAAGGGCUUCGGCUUGACGGUACCUGCAGAAAAAGGACCGGCUAACUACGUGCCAGCAGCCGCGGUAAAAC